GCCGCCGCCGCACCACUCGCCGCUGUGGCCGACCUCAACCCGCCCGCCCGCCGCCGCCGCACCUCUGCCCUCUCGCCGCCUCCGCUGCGGCGGUCGAGCGCCGCUUCUGGAUCAGGUCAACGUGAUGGCUCGGGCGGCUGGGGACGACGCGCCUGCUUGAUGCAGAACAACGGGGCGGGAUCCGGCGGGCGCGGUAGAAGGAGGGAUCCGGCGCGGCGGCGCGAAGUACUUGCAGGUGGAGGCGGGCCUCCAUGGCUGGCAGGGAGAUCUCCAAGGUCAUGGCGGGGCUUCGAUUUUUCUGAGAGAAAAAAGAGACAGAGGAGGAUCCAGGGAGGAGGGUAGGUAGGAGAAGAAGGACGGGGAACAAGGAAGGGUGCGACAGGGGUGCAGCUGUGCGAGGGCACUGGUCUCCCGCGUGAGGAGUGCCUCUCCUCGGGAGGAUCGGAAGGGAGCGAGUGAAACUCAAAUCCACUUCAGAGCAAGGCCAACAACGUAAGCCCCACCAGUGACGCGACGGGAGAGCUCCGACCUGUACGUGGUAGUGGGAACGCAGAUCCGUGUCGCCGACCUACACAAGGCCAUGGCCAACGCGCCGACGCAUGGUUCAUCGUCCGUCUUCGUCAGGUGACUUUUCAUGCGAUUCCUACUUCUAAAAAUUAGAAAAUACCUUCAGAUCAAAGCAGCGGAUUUGUAGAUGUUUGGGAAUUGGUGCUACUCCAUCUCCAUCUGGCCAACGGUCUUUGGUCACUGAUUCUGAG